UACGUAGGGUGCAAGCGUUGUCCGGAAUUAUUGGGCGUAAAGAGCUCGUAGGCGGUUUGUCGCGUCUGCUGUGAAAUCUGGAGGCUCAACCUCCAGCCUGCAGUGGGUACGGGCAGACUAGAGUGCGGUAGGGGAGAUUGGAACUCCUGGUGUAGCGGUGGAAUGCGCAGAUAUCAGGAAGAACACCGAUGGCGAAGGCAGAUCUCUGGGCCGUAACUGACGCUGAGGAGCGAAAGCAUGGGGGAGCGAACAGG
rnacentral:rRNA from 1 species